UACAUUGGCUAUGUAACUCAGUGGUAAAUGUAUUUUCCCUCUUUUUCAAACAACAGACACUAUAUAACAAAGUAAUUUAUGGGCUUUUACACAGUUGCAUUUGAAACAAUAUCUGAGGAUAACUUGUUCGCAUAUUAUGUUGCUAGUCUCUUGGAACUGUUGCAGAAGAGCUAUUUUGCUAGUGGACCUGGACCGGACAUUGCCAUGUGCUAUUUGUAGGACACUACAUUUUCUUUCUUUCUUUCUUUCUUUCUUUCUUUCUUUGCAUUGUAUUAAAAGCAUUACGUUGGGAAUUGUGGUAACUGAGUCAUUCAGUAACAAGAAGAGCCAAACUGAACAUGCAUUUAAUUGUGUGGAUGGAAUUAUGAUGUACACAUUUUGUUAUGCAAAUAGCAAUCAAAGCCUUGUCAGGUUUGGAGGACUGGACAUUUUAAUCCUUUCUUAGAGAUCCCAGCAUUGUUUUUAAGGUGAACAGACUCAACAUUGACAGGGACGUUUUAUUAAUCUUGAUUAUUUGCAGGCAUGUUUUUAGAAAACAAUUAAAACAAAGGCUACAUUGCAUUGAAAUCAUUAUCAGUAGCUGGUAACAAUAUGAGUAUCAUGAAAGUAGUAUCAAACUAGAACCCCAUGCUAGUUCAGUCACAGAAGUAGUUGUGAAGAAAUCUACUUUAGGUCCUGAAGGUGAACUUUUAUAAUAUAGGCAUAGCCUUUUGCAGGGGUUUGAAGGUGUACAGUUGGCUUUUGGUAUCCACAGAUUCUGCACCCACAGAUUCCACCAUCUGUAAAAUGUCAAACCUUGAUUUUGGCAUUUUAAAUAAGGAACACCAUUUUACUACACCAUUGUAUAUAAUGGAAUUUGAGCAUCCACAAAUUUUGGCAUCUAUGGGCAGUGUGUGUGUGUGUGUGUUCUGAAAUCAAGUCCCAAUAGAUACCAAGGGCUUGCUAUAUAUGUAUUGUAGGAUUCUAGAAACCAUUCCAAAUCACACAACUUCAGCUGGGAAGACGUACCUACUUUGAAUAAAGUUUCAGGAGUAAUGUACAUAGAUCCAUCUGCAUCAGGCUUCUCCUUCAGCAUAAACUGGUAGCAACCAUUCCAUCAGAUGCAACAACAAGAAGAGGGAAGAUAAGCCAUUGCUCCAGCUAUGAAGGAAUGGUAACUCCAUUGGAAUUCCUUUUUCAGCUGUCAUCUGGAAACUACCAUUCUAUCAGCUACAGCACCAUUUCUGUUUGAUUCUUCUCCUUCCUGAAUUGUUUUCAUUUCAAGGGUCAUUAGAAGACUUGCUAUGUAAUUUCUGGGAUUAGUUUGGGCAUAUCCCUCCCCAUCUAACCAUCUCAUCUCUUUUUUUGUUAUAUCUUUCGGGGGCACAUUUUUAAAUUGAUUGUGUUCAAAUAUAGCAGGGUUUUUUUGGUGGAAGAAAGUGUUGAAUGUUCUUUAAAUAAUGAGUUUACUUUAUUGCAAUCAAUAUACGUACACCCAAAUUUAGAUUACCUUCAUCCUUUCAAACCUUCAGAGCAUUGACUUGUGAUGCUCACAUUCUUUUGCAUCUCAUUGUUGAUUCGACUGUUAUUUGUUGGAUUUUUCUUUCAGCUCUUUUGAACAAAUAUUAUGUCCUAGCUCACCCCACCCCUCAUGAUCAAGCCUAAAAAGAUAUCUAGGUUUCCUUUCAUAAGCUCUACCAGCAUGCAAUGAAAAGUUUGCAAUGGCAAGUUUGAUACAAAUGCUGACCUUUUGUUGCCACAAAUGCAAUUUAGAAUGUAGGCUGUUUCCAGAUAGCAAAACAUGUUAAUUAGCCUUUGGAUUAAUUGUAUCCUGUACUCUUUUGAACAGAAGUAUACAUACAUUGUUGCCAUUACAGUUAAGGAUAAAGGUAACAUUUUAAGCAUUGUGACUAUAUGUGUUUGGAAUUAUCCUUUUAGAGGAAAAUAUUUUGCACAUCACUAGUGCUCGAGAGAGAGAAAAUACAUCUAUGUGCCACUGUUUCCUUGUUCAGGCUGGCAAAUCAAUCUGAUUGGGUUUAUCGAAAAUACAUAAUUUUCUCUUAUGUGUGACUAACAAAAGUGCUCAGCUUCCUCUGUGUUAGACCUUAUUCAUUGAUGCUCUUUUCUUUCUAACCCCCUGCUCCUUACUGCAUUUUCUUCACCUCAGCACCUGUUCAAUCUCUACUAGCUUUGACUGAGAAUAGAAACCCUCUAUAACCUCCAUACAGAUACUGCUCCUUUUCCUCUCCACCACCACUGUUUCUUGCUGUUCAUGGUGCUUCCAGACAGUGCCAAAACCCAUGACGUGGGUUCCUAUCCCCAUUUCCCCACCCAAACCCUGGGCUUUCCGGGGCAUGAAGCCACCCCCAAGCACCAAAUUUAGCCCCAAAAACUUACUUAAAAGGUCCCUGGCUACCAUAAAGUUUUGGAAAAUGGCAAUCAUUUGAACAUUAUAACCUUUUAGAAAAGGUUGGUCUUUCAGAAAAGAACCAAAAGCCUGUUCUAGUAGAAUCUUCUCGAGUGGUAUACAACCAAAUGUAAUUUACAAGGUAAUUGGCUUCAGCUGUUAGACUGAACCUGUUGUCUCUGAUCUAUUAGGAAAACAGAGAAUAUGCCAAUGCACAAAAUAGCAGAGUUUCAUAAGUGUUUUUCAGAUCUCAAAAUAUAUCUACUCUCCCAUGAAACAACUAGUUUUAUAUCAUGCACUCAAGAGACAAAAAAUGAAGUAGGCUUUGGUGAAAUAACAUUUGGUUUACUCACAACUUCAUGUGUUCAGCAUAACACAGGUACAUAGCUUAUCAGUUCAGUUUCAAAUAUGUUUGAGAGAAUGACAAAGGGCAUCUUUCUUACAAUAACAGCAGACAAGUGUUGGUCUGAGCAGUCAAAAAUCUAAGAAGAAUCUAAAAUGGAGUCUGAGGUCUGAGCAGUCUCAGAUCAGAUAAUGUAUUCUGCAGCCCCGCCCACAACCUUUCAGGAAACCUAGAACAAAAGAAGCUGCAUACCAGAACAUACAUACAAAACAGUAAGCAAACAGAAUAAUAGAUUAACAAAUUACUAGAGGAGGCUUGAAUUGAAUUGAAGGUUGUAAUUUCCAACAUAAAAGUUCUCCUCGCAUCCACCUUGCAUGAAGAAAUAACUCCUGAGUAGAUGGAAAGGAUGAGGAGGAAAACUUCUCCUGCCUCCCCAAUCUCCUCACAUGUAAUUUACUCAUGCCAGGAGGACAUGAGGAGAACCUUUAUGGUGGCCAGAGACUUUUUAGCAAGUUCUUGGGGCUAAAUUUGGUGCUUGGUGGGAGGGAUGGGCGCCAUCCCACUCCUCUGGGCUUUUCAAGGCCUGAAGAAGCAAGAUGACUGAGAAGACUCACAGCGUGUCCCGGGAGUGAGUCCUCACAGGCCCAAUACCCCAUUUUCUGGAUGGCCCGGAUCUAAUGAUAUAUCUAAUUAAUUCGGAACAAAGCAAGGAAACCAAGGCAUUGUUUGGAUGCCUUCAUUAAGAACCAAGAUAGGUCCUGCUUUUUGGGUCUGUCUGGAUGGGCCCUAAGUUACCACACACCUCAUAACCAUUCAGCUCCCUCUCCCACUUCCUAUUCUUAUCAGACACCAUAAGUUUCUCUCCUAUAAUGCAUUAGAGUUGUUACAAUUCUAAUUCCCCAAAUCCAAAUAGCCACAUUUGCAUAUUACUCUAAUUAUUGUAUCAUGCAAAUUAUUUUGUGAGUAAUGAAAUAUUUUGUUUUACAGAUAGGAAGCAGUAUGUUGGCUUUUUAAGAUGCUUUCAAUAUAAUGGAAUAAUGCACAACUUUGUGACUCAAAGUGUUUUGUGCAUCCCCAUAGCCCCCAUUAUUUAGCACUAUUAAUUUUUUUCUCCUGGUAGGUCUCUUCUGCUUUUAAGAACUGCAAAUUUUCAAUAAGUAUAGCUUCUUAGACAUGAGGAUUUUACAUAGAAGAGAGAAUUGUAUACCUAAUUUAAAAGAAAGAAAAUUGUCAGAACAGAGAGCCAUAGCUUUUCAGUACACAAAAAGAAUAUAUGUACAGCUCAAAAAAAAAAUAACUGGGAAAAAUGCAUUAAGAGCUACUCACAUGAUACUAAGUUCAGAGUAUAAAAUUACCCAUUAUACAAAAAAGUGCUUUGGAUACUCAAAAACCCUUUUUAGAUGACAGUGAUUACUGUUAUAAAUGUUAUUGCAUAAUAAUGAUGAUGAUGAUGAUGAUGAUGAUGAUGAUGAUGAUGAUGCCCUGGCAGAAUAUGUAAAGCAAAGUGAAGAACCUGCUUUGAUUGAAGUCAAAAAUCAGAAACUCCUCAAAGCACAGCAGACAAAAAAAACAGUACAAGAAAA